rnacentral:misc_RNA from 1 species
CAUUCAUGCCUGAGCGCGGAACCGAAACAAUGAGCAUGCGCUGGUACAUCGUUCACGCCUAUUCGAACUUCGAAAAGAAGGUCUCCGAAUCGAUUCGCGAGCAGGCCAAGCAGCGCGGACUUGAAGAUCUUNGCAGGUGCUGGUGCCGACCGAGAAGGUCACGGAAGUCCGCCGCGGCCGCAAGAUCGACGCCGAGCGCAAGUUCUUCCCCGGCUACGUGCUGGUGAAGAUGAACCUCACCGACGAGGCGUUCCAUCUCAUCAAGAACACGCCUAAGGUGACGGGCUUCCUCGGCGCGGAAAACAAGC